UACGUAGGUGGCAAGCGUUGUCCGGAAUUAUUGGGCCUAAAGCAUCCGUAGCCGGUUCUACAAGUCUUCCGUUAAAUCCAGCUGCUUAACAGAUGGGCUGCGGAAGAUACUAUGGAGCUAGGAGGCGGGAGAGGCAAGCGGUACUCGAUGGGUAGGGGUAAAAUCCGCUGAUCCAUAGAAGACCACCAGUGGCGAAGGCGGCUUGCCAGAACGCGCUCGACGGUGAGGGAUGAAAGCUGGGGGAGCAAACCGG
rnacentral:rRNA from 1 species